rnacentral:lncRNA from 1 species
CCCAGUUGAUCCAUUAAUAUAAAGCCAACAUGUAUGCAUAUACAUGUAUACAGAGCAAGAGAAAACUAACCCCUGAAACACUGAUAAGCAUAAACACAAUCUCUGGAUUUAUCUUCAAUUUAAGACCCUUCAAGACAAAAGACUAAUCUUUAACUACAUAAGAAAAAAAAGAGAAAAAAAGAUUAACAAAUGUUCCACAACCAUAAAACCUAACACGAAAUGUGACCAAAUAGCUAGGUAACCCCAAAAACCACCACCAGAAAACGCAUAGUUCACCACCAAACUAACAUAAAAAAGUAAAAAGCAGCAGAAAUGAGUAGUAUGUGAAAGACAAGUCCACCCUCUUCAGGAUAGACACUCUAACGGUUAGAGCUGGGGCAUUCUCUGGCAAAGUGCCCUUCUUCCCCACAGUUGUAGCAUCCACCUCCGCCGCCGCCGCCACCACUAUACCUUCCGCCGCCGCCGCCGCCGCCACCCUGAUAGCACUCCCUUGCCAUGUGCCCUGUCUCCCCACACUUGUAACAAGCAUUACCACCUCCACCUCCGUAACCACCUCCACCACCGAAUCCUCCGCCACCGCUACCAUAGCCUCCACUACCAUAUCCACCACCACCUCCGCCAAAACUACCACGGCCACCUCCCCUGCCGCCACCACGACCGGCACUCCUUCCACCACCACCGCCACCGUUAUAACCCCCUCCACCGCCACCGUUAUAACCCCCUCCGCCACCAUACCCACCCCCACCGCGACCUCCACCUCCGCCGCCGCCGCCGCCACGGGUGCUGCCUUGAACUGGACCCUCUUCAGGUCCGGUGACAUCAACAGCCUUCGUACGGCCAUCGGAACUGUUCUCAAUCAGGUACUCAACGGAUUCACCAUCACCUAGGCUACGGAAUCCUUCAGAUCUGAUAGAGGACUGGUGAACGAAUAGAUCUUCGGAGCCAUCGUCGGGCGUGAUGAAUCCAAACCCUUUGGUGUCAUUGAACCACUUCACUGACCCCUUUUGUCUGGUACCGUUACCCUCAUCCAUUGUUGUUGCCGGAUCUCAAAAACCUUGAAGAAGAAGAAGAAGAAGAAAGCGAACCCUAGCUCUCUCUUUCUCUUUUUCUCUGGAUUUUUUUUGAGGUGUGAGGAAUGGACUGUGUAGUAUAUAUAUACCCGAAACUUUGCAGGAACUCAAGUG